GAUGAACGCUGGCGGUGUACUUAACACAUGCAAGUCGAACGGUGAACGAGGGAGCUUGCUCCCUCCGGAUCAGUGGCGAACGGGUGAGUAACACGUGAGCAAUCUGCCCUGGACUCUGGGAUAAGCGUUGGAAACGACGUCUAAUACCGGAUACGAGGCGUGGGGGCAUCCCCAACGCCUGGAAAGAACUUCGGUCCAGGAUGAGCUCGCGGCCUAUCAGCUAGUUGGUGAGGUAACGGCUCACCAAGGCGACGACGGGUAGCCGGCCUGAGAGGGUGACCGGCCACACUGGGACUGAGACACGGCCCAGACUCCUACGGGAGGCAGCAGUGGGGAAUAUUGCACAAUGGGCGCAAGCCUGAUGCAGCAACGCCGCGUGAGGGACGACGGCCUUCGGGUUGUAAACCUCUUUUAGCAGGGAAGAAGCGAAAGUGACGGUACCUGCAGAAAAAGCACCGGCUAACUACGUGCCAGCCGCCGCGGUAAUAC
rnacentral:rRNA from 1 species